rnacentral:rRNA from 1 species
GUGUACUGGCGGCGUGCUAUACAUGCAAGUCGAGCGAAUGGAUUAAGAGCUUGCUCUUAUGAAGUUAGCGGCGGACGGGUGAGUAACACGUGGGUAACCUGCCCAUAAGACUGGGAUAACUCCGGGAAACCGGGGCUAAUACCGGAUAACAUUUUGAACCGCAUGGUUCGAAAUUGAAAGGCGGCUUCGGCUGUCACUUAUGGAUGGACCCGCGUCGCAUUAGCUAGUUGGUGAGGUAACGGCUCACCAAGGCAACGAUGCGUAGCCGACCUGAGAGGGUGAUCGGCCACACUGGGACUGAGACACGGCCCAGACUCCUACGGGAGGCAGCAGUAGGGAAUCUUCCGCAAUGGACGAAAGUCUGACGGAGCAACGCCGCGUGAGUGAUGAAGGCUUUCGGGUCGUAAAACUCUGUUGUUAGGGAAGAACAAGUGCUAGUUGAAUAAGCUGGCACCUUGACGGUACCUAACCAGAAAGCCACGGCUAACUACGUGCCAGCAGCCGCGGUAAUACGUAGGUGGCAAGCGUUAUCCGGAAUUAUUGGGCGUAAAGCGCGCGCAGGUGGUUUCUUAAGUCUGAUGUGAAAGCCCACGGCUCAACCGUGGAGGGUCAUUGGAAACUGGGAGACUUGAGUGCAGAAGAGGAAAGUGGAAUUCCAUGUGUAGCGGUGAAAUGCGUAGAGAUAUGGAGGAACACCAGUGGCGAAGGCGACUUUCUGGUCUGUAACUGACACUGAGGCGCGAAAGCGUGGGGA